AUUGAACGCUGGCGGCAUGCCUUACACAUGCAAGUCGAACGGCAGCACGGGAGCUUGCUCCUGGUGGCGAGUGGCGAACGGGUGAGUAAUGCAUCGGAACGUACCCGGAAGUGGGGGAUAGCGUAGCGAAAGUUACGCUAAUACCGCAUAUUCUGUGAGCAGGAAAGAGGGGGAUCGCACGACCUCUCGCUUUCGGAGCGGCCGAUGUCGGAUUAGCUAGUUGGUGGGGGAAAGGCCUACCAAGGCGACGAUCCGUAGCGGGUCUGAGAGGAUGAUCCGCCACACUGGAACUGAGACACGGUCCAGACUCCUACGGGAGGCAGCAGUGGGGAAUUUUGGACAAUGGGCGAAAGCCUGAUCCAGCCAUGCCGCGUGAGUGAAGAAGGCCUUCGGGUUGUAAAGCUCUUUCGGCUGAAAAGAAAUCGCACAGGCUAAUACCCUGUGUGGAUGACGGUAUCAGCAUAAGAAGCACCGGCUAACUACGUGCCAGCAGCCGCAGUAA
rnacentral:rRNA from 1 species